rnacentral:rRNA from 1 species
UACGUAGGGGGCAAGCGUUGUCCGGAAUCAUGGGGCGUAAAGCGCGUGUAGGCGGCCCGGUAAGUCCGCUGUGAAAGUCGGGGGCUCAACCCUCGAAUGCCGGUUGAUACUGUCGGGCUAGAGUGCGGGAGAGGCGAGUGGAAUUCCUGGUGUAGCGGUGAAAUGCGCAGAUAUCAGGAGGAACACCAAUUGCGAAGGCAGCUCGCUGGAACGUAACUGACGCUGAGACGCGAAAGCGUGGGGAGCAAACAGG